rnacentral:rRNA from 1 species
AGAGUUUGAUCCUGGCUCAGAGCGAACGCUGGCGGCAGGCCUAACACAUGCAAGUCGAACGGAUCCUUCGGGAUUAGUGGCGGACGGGUGAGUAACACGUGGGAACGUGCCCUUUGGUUCGGAACAACUCAGGGAAACUUGAGCUAAUACCGGAUGUGCCCUUCGGGGGAAAGAUUUAUCGCCAUUGGAGCGGCCCGCGUAGGAUUAGCUAGUUGGUGGGGUAAAGGCCCACCAAGGCGACGAUCCUUAGCUGGUCUGAGAGGAUGAUCAGCCACAUUGGGACUGAGACACGGCCCAAACUCCUACGGGAGGCAGCAGUGGGGAAUCUUGCGCAAUGGGCGAAAGCCUGACGCAGCCAUGCCGCGUGAAUGAUGAAGGUCUUAGGAUUGUAAAAUUCUUUCACCGGGGACGAUAAUGACGGUACCCGGAGAAGAAGCCCCGGCUAACUUCGUGCCAGCAGCCGCGGUAAUACGAAGGGGGCUAGCGUUGCUCGGAAUUACUGGGCGUAAAGGGAGCGUAGGCGGAUAGUUUAGUCAGAGGUGAAAGCCCAGGGCUCAACCUUGGAAUUGCCUUUGAUACUGGCUAUCUUGAGUACGGAAGAGGUAUGUGGAACUCCGAGUGUAGAGGUGAAAUUCGUAGAUAUUCGGAAGAACACCAGUGGCGAAGGCGACAUACUGGUCCGUUACUGACGCUGAGGCUCGAAAGCGUGGGGAGCAAACAGGAUUAGAUACCCUGGUAGUCCACGCUGUAAACGAUGAGUGCUAGUUGUCGGCAGGCAUGCCUGUCGGUGACGCAGCU